UGUGUGCAUCCAAAAUUUACCAAUCUUCGACAUUUAGCUACAAAAAUUCAAACUGUUAUAUUUGUUCGUGAUUACAAGUAAACCAAAACCAAGUCAAACUUCCUAGAAGUAACAAAAAUUAGUAUGUUUUCAACUUAAACUAUAACAUGAGGCUCAGUAUUAAACUUGCUUCUUGCCUCUUCAAAUGCAGCCGAGUAUAGUUAUAUACGGAGAGAGAUAGCUCUUCAUAUAUAUUUAGGUCUUUUAAUUCUAUUUGAUCUGAAAAUCGCACUCACGAUGUUAUACUGGUUAACAAGAAUCCUACGCAACUCUGUGACAGACACCCACAAGGAUAUCCAUUAGCAAAUUUAACAGACAUUUUUUUCCCUUUCUUCCUGGCUAAGAGAAACCCAGUUUAUUUACCCUCUUCCAGGUGGAAUGUCCUUCAGGAAUGCUGCAUUACUUCCUCACUGCAGGGGGAAAUCUCAAUUAUUCUGUGCCAGCCAGGGUGGUUUUAUUUUCCUAGCAAAGGAAUUGCUUUAGGCAUGGACUUGUGACCCAGUUUUGACCAGAGAAAUAUAAAGCAAUGUCUGGGAACCUCCAGAAAUAUCUUCCCAUUCUAAAUAAAGGAAAUAUAUUGGAUGCUCCAAUUCUCUACCUGGUCACUUUUUUGGUUGUGAUGCUUUGAACUGCUUUGAACUUGGCAGCCCACAUAAGGGGACAGGAAAAUGGAAAGAAACUGCAUCCAUCACAAGUUACUAAACUGCCGAAAUCAACCAACUUUGGAAUCUAUCUCUAGACUUCUUAUAGGAUGAGAUAAUAUUCAUGCAGUUGUCAUUUUUUGAUUGAUUUCUCUUACUUGCAGCACCAAACACCCUAAUUACUAUAAACUUUCAUCUCCUCAACCUAAAAAUCCUGGUUCUACCAAAAGCCUGCUGAUAAAUAGAGUCUUAAAAUAAUUCAGUCACACACUCUAAUGGCUUCCUCUAUGCUAUAUGGUUGGGGAAAAAUUUUUGUAUCAUAAGGGAUAUGGUCUUUUUGGCAAUUUUAACAAAUAACAAAAUAUGAUAUUUACUCCCUUAAGAUAACAGUAAAAACAAAUGAAUGAUAUCAGAAAGAGUCUGCCCUUAACACCUAAGUUCUAUAUAAUAACCCUUUGUACAGUCAUAAUGUAUUUAUAGUCAUGGAACUGACAGCACUAACGUCCUGAACUUAGCCAGAACACAGACUGGGACUUGAACCCACAUGCCAGGACUUGAAUCCAGCCUAAACCCAGAUUGGGACUUGAACCCACACUUUAAAUUAGAAUCACUCACCCCAUGUCUGGACUUAUUGAGGUUCAGGUUCUUUAUCCCUUCACGCAGAAAGAAUUCAGCAAGAGACAAAGUGAUAGGCAAGAAAUUGAUUUAUUAGGAUAGGACACUUGUGAGAGAUGCAAGUGGGCAGGCAAGGAGGCUCUGUCCCCAGGAUCCUGUGGGCUACAGUUUUAUCAUCCAAGGGGAGUGGGGGGUCUGAAAAGACCACCUCUUCCUCUUUCUUUGACUAGUAGCUCCUCCUUAGUAUCCAGUAAGGUGAGUAUUCAAAUCAGCAGAAGGGCUGUCCUCAAACUCCUGCUCUUGGUCUGAAUCCCAUCCCCCACCUCCACUAGUCAAGCAAGCCUGCCCUGUUGUGGUGGCUUUCUUGAGCAACUAUUAACUUACAGUGAUCUCUCAUCCCCUAGGUUUCCCUUUCUAUCUAUGAUCCUUUACUGGGACUUCUACAACUACCUGUGCCUACUCUAUCCCUAUAAGUCAGGGCUCUAGGAAGUCUUUAAGCAAUAAAAUCUAACUUUAUUGUAUUUGAUCAAGGGUUUGCUUCCCAACCUUAUUUAAUCAUCGAAUCCCUUUUUCUUCACAUUAAACAUUAGUUGAUCCACCAGAAUAAAUGCUCAUCAAAAUAUACCUUGACAAACAUGAAUUUACACUGAGUUUUUACUUAAAUACAAUGGAGGAAAAUAUAUUGGAAAAUGUCACCAUUUACGCUUCCCUGGUUGUAGUAAAAUGUUUUUAAAUGAGAAUAACUAACAAUUACUGAAUGCUUACUCUGGGUGAGGCACUCUCUGAACCACUUUAACCCAUGAAUUGCCCAUACUCAGUGGCAGAAUCUCAUUUAACUCAUGAGGAAAAACAGGCACAGAAGGACAAGAGGCCCUACUCUGACUUACACCACUCACACUCUUCACAGUUCCAGAAAAGGAAGAAUUUUAUCUUACACUUAACACUUAGGAGCAAAAUCCUAUUGCUUGAAUGGUGUUCCUUGCAUUGAGUGAAAUUGGCUCUGAGUAACUUGGCCAAUGCUAUCGAACUACCAUGAUUUAGUGUCAACUAGCAUCUGAAAACAUAGGCUGAGUGAGGGCUUCACGAGGUGGCAGUAUUGAUAUGAUCUGAAGACAUCUCUAAUUAAAGACGCAGUCAGAUUUAAUUUAAUCCUGACACAAACAGCUACAGUCUUCCUCUCAACAGCAUUUGAAUUUGUAGAAAUUGUUUGGAACUGUUUAGGCUCUUAAAAAAAAAAAAAAAAAAAAAAAAGCCCAUAAGACCUUAGUAUAUCUUUCAUAAAUAAAAGAUAGUUGAAGUUCAAAAGGUUUCCAAGCUCAACAUACUAAAUUUCUUGAAGACUGGAAAGGUAUUCCAAAAUGCUGAAGAUACAGCAAGCAUAAAAAUAAACAUGUGUUACCGGGUUUGUACUGUUCCAUGUUUUCCAUCAGUGUCUCUAACUAGGAUAUCCUUUACCUAAGAAAUACAUCUUUGUUAAGUAAAGUGAAUACUUAUCCAUGGAAUAUCUACGUCUUUACAAUGCCUUAAAGAAUUUUAAUAGCCUCUUGUGAUUUGACUAGCAAUCAAGUGAUGAAAAGUCUUUUAAUAUCCUAAGUAAAAUCUACAUAUUCAAACACCAUGAUGGAGUUUGAAGGAGCUCUAAGUACAUUUCCUAGGUACUUACAUUAACACAAAUAGUGGUUGCUAAAGAAGAAAGGCAGCUAAAUUUUAGAUGAAGAAAUGACAACUGUCACUCUUAAAAACAAAUACAUAAAUUUCCCUUGAAGGUCAAAAAGUUUGGCUCAAAAAGUGUAUUAUGUGUCACAUUAAAUUCCAAAGCUCUCCUUUACAUAAAGUACUAUGUUAAGGUACUUUAGAAAGAAGGUAAAUUGUACAUAAAUAUAGCCUCCAUUUAUGUCUUUUCAAUGUGUUUUGAAUCUUUGUUUUAAUUUUUAAAGAGUGUGAUACCGUUCCUAAAAUGGGAAGAUAUACAGAUGUUCUCACACUGAUGUCAUUCUAAAUACAGAGGGAGAUGUUUUGGAAAGCUUCAAAACAUCUUUGAAAAUAAGCUGGAAGCUGGGGAAGGGGUAGAGGUCAUCAGAUCCCAUCUGCAGAUGAUGCCUCAUAUGUCUUCAAUAUGAAUUUGCUUAUCCAUUCUCAAAUCAUUAAAAGGAUGUGCACUUCUUCAUAGCUGCAUCUCCAGCAUCUUAGCAGGACCCCUGAAGUAUCAUCAGUUUAUGAAAGAAAUGUUGCUCACAGACCUGGGUUUUAGGAGAUUGUGCCCACUCCUCAGAAGGCUGUGACAGACCUGCCACAGGACCACCAGACCUCCCUGCCUCUGGGCUGGACAGCUGCCAGUAUAGCUUUGAAGGGAAAGUUAAAAAGCCAUCACAAC
rnacentral:lncRNA from 1 species